ensembl:ncRNA F45D3.9 ncRNA
AUGUCUGCGGCCAAAGAUUACCUGAAUCUUGGCUUCAAGCCCUCAGAUGUGCCUUACUGGCGCCAUCACAUCUUCUUCAGUCGUAUCAACAUCCUUUAUCUGCGGUUAUGUCUACGUCUUGUCUAUUCCAAU